AUAACUGAAUAAUUGCCUUGCGGGUUGAGGAGAGUGACCUGGACAACGCCGGAGACAAGAACGACUCGUAGUAAGGUGCAUCCCGCUGCCUUCUCUGAUCAAUCUGUGAUAUUCUGGCUGCCACGCAAUUGUUGCUGCACAGAAAGGUUCAGAUCAUACCGGGGUUGAAUAGCACCAAGCCGAGCGUACCAGGAGGCGGUGUUGGAGGGUGGACCAGUACCCCACUUGUGCUUUCAGAAUUUCUUGUGGCCACUUUUCCUUACUAUUGGAGCGUGCCUUGGAGGUGCAAACUAGGUGGGUUCAGGAUGACUUCCUUCACUAGGAUGCAGCUGGGGACAAGAACGACCCAGUGCCUCCUGCCUGCCUUUUACCUUGUAAACAGCACACAAGAUUUUCUUGCCGCCACUUAUCCUGAAUGUGGAUGGUGCCUUGAAGCUGGAAAAUGGGUGGCUUGGCUGCUGCUAUUGCUGCUUAGGCUCUCAUACGAUGGACUUAGACUGCUGACUGCCGGCACAUGGCGAAAGUUCAUGAUUGGGUGCAGUUGUGCUGGUAGACCCAAGUGUCGGCGGCAGCAUUGAUGGCGCCGUGCAUGAAGGUUCAGUAGGGCGCCUGGGUACAUGAUGGUAACUUCCUCCUCUACUAGACCGCAUGCCGCCGCCUGGGAUAAGAACGAACCACUAGCGAGUAGUCAUGAGCACGGAGGGGCUAUAGCUGGGCGAAGGGAGCAACGUCACUGUCUUGAGGCUGUACUUGGUUGAGUGUGACCUGAAAAAUCAGGGCAAGUCUGGCAUUGUGGCGGCCAAGUGCUUACCUGCGCUUAAACGUUAUGAUGAGCUUACAGGAGCACCGCCAAGAUCUGCACUGCGGUGCUUAUGCUGCUAGUUGGGCAUUGUGGCAGCCAAGUACUCAUGGCUGCUUAGAUACUACAAUGAUCCUACACAAGAGGACCACCUAGGUCAAUGAAGCACCAUAGAACCCACCACCGGUCUCCUGCGCUAACGACGUUGUCGUUAAUGGGCGUUGGUCUCAGACAAUGCAUGUCCACGCAGCAUGGAGCUGCUGCCAGCGUCUUCCACCGGGGGAUCCGGCAUUGCUGUUGGGCUGGCUGUGGCCCACCAUGCUUCGUGUUCGGUAGUAGGCUUGGCUAGCUCUGGGCUUCACUAAGCUAAUCAUUGUGUUGCUACUGUGGUGGUGGUGUUGUCUUGGCCUUGCCUACACCCCUCUCCGGGAAUAGUCCUGAGGAUGGAGCGGCUGUUGCUGGCAAAGGGUGGAGUGUCACUCUCUUGAGGCUGGACUUGGUUGAGUGUGACCUGGAGAAUC